rnacentral:ncRNA from 2 species
UAUAAACAUCAAGACACCUUCCCUUAUGGAAAGGUACCAACCGAGCAAGUAAAGCCACGGUGGUAAAAUAGAUGUGGUCUGAUUCAUGACAAAAAAACGGAAUCCC